GAUGAGGAUAAGGAGUUUAAUUGUAUAAUGAGAAAGUAGAAUUAUUUAAUAUAGUAAAUAGUGAUGGAUUUGUAGAGGAUGUUUAAGAAAGGUAAGUAGUAGAGGGUGUGAGGGAAGGGGGUAGAGAGGUUUUAGAGGAUGUGGAGGAAGGUUGGAGGUUUUAGAAAUUUAGAGAGGGGAAAUAAUUAGUUUUUUUGUAUAGUUGUAUUGUUUG
rnacentral:misc_RNA from 1 species